ensembl:lncRNA
GUGCUGUAUGACCUGGGCCAUAGAGAUGCCACAAAGGAUCAGACACCUGACUCUGGCCCUGACUGACUGAGAUUCCAACAGCUUGUCACUGGGAAAGCUGAGAUGUCCUUGGUCCUCCACUCUCCAGCCUCCUUUCCCAAUCCGGUGCCUCCUGAUCUUUCUCAGCUCCCUGUAAACCAGGAUCCACCUCCUCGAGGACUCCGAAUUCUCAUUCCACUACAGACUCCUGCUCCAGCGCUGCCAUGUACCUACCACCUCUGCAGAGUCCCAGUUUAUCGUGACCAGCCUCUCACUGCUGAGAAUGAAUGACUUCUCCAUCAGAGGACGGGGCCAUCUUAUGCCUGUUUUUCUCUGAAUCUGGUAGCAGUAGGAGGCAGAUAUCCUUUUCAGAAAGCGACGUUUGCUUGAUGACAUCCCAUCUUGUGACAUCAUUUCUGGCUUCUGUGCCUGGGGACAUCUGAGGAUCAUUGCAUAUUUCCCAAUCCCAACUGUCCCUGGAAUAUGUGUUCUCUGGGCUCCAUCUCUGACCUUCUGUGCUUGUAUACCCUUGGCUGGCUCAUUCCCAGUGGUAAGAGAUACUGUCAGCAAGACAAUCACUUAAUACUCCCCCUACCCCCACCAACUAGUUUCGACCUGUUUAUCCUCCAAGGACCCUGAUGGACCACAUUUCAGGCAUUCCCACUACCUCUUCUUUUGGCAACUCCUAUCCAAGCCUCUACACUAUUGCCCACCAUCUGUAGUCAGCCAAAUGCAAGUUAUGAACCAGCUGAUGGUGGGUCACAGUUCCUUGGUUGUAAGCAAGAAAAAUCAACUUCAGUGAAUCAGACAAAAGGAGAAGCUUGUUGAAACACAGGUCGCUCACAGGGUAGACAGGAGACUGGGUACCCAGCUUUGAAAUGGGACAGGAACCAACAGAAACCGGUGAAGUGUUGCACCUGAGAGUCACUGAUGGGUAUGCUCCAAGUGUUCAUUGCUGAUGAUGCCUUGUUCUCUUCAAGAAUCACAGUCUCAUGGGAAUUCCCUACCAGUCAAGUGGUUAAGACUUUGUACUCUAGGAUCCCACAAGCCAUGUGGC